GGGGGGGUAGCCAAGCCAGGCCAAAGGCGGCAGACUCAAGAUCUGCUCACGUAGGUGUUCACGGGUUCGAAUCCUGUCCCCCCCA
rnacentral:tRNA from 1 species